rnacentral:rRNA from 1 species
UGGGGAAUAUUGGACAAUGGGGGCAACCCUGAUCCAGCCAUGCCGCGUGUGUGAAGAAGGCCUUUUGGUUGUAAAGCACUUUAAGCAGUGAAGAAGACUCCAUGGUUAAUACCCAUGGACGAUGACAUUAGCUGCAGAAUAAGCACCGGCUAACUCUGUGCCAGCAGCCGCGGUAAUACAGAGGGUGCAAGCGUUAAUCGGAAUUACUGGGCGUAAAGCGAGCGUAGGUGGCUUGAUAAGUCAGAUGUGAAAGCCCCGGGCUUAACCUGGGAACGGCAUCUGAUACUGUUAGGCUAGAGUAGGUGAGAGGAAGGUAGAAUUCCAGGUGUAGCGGUGAAAUGCGUAGAGAUCUGGAGGAAUACCGAUGGCGAAGGCGGCCCCCUGGACAAAGACUGACGCUCAGGUGCGAAAGCGUGGGGAGCAAACA